UGGGAAGGGGGGAGUCAAACCCCGUAAAUAGAUUUACAGUCUACCGCCUUUCUCGGCCACCUAACC
rnacentral:tRNA from 1 species